CCUACGGGAGGCAGCAGUGGGGAAUAUUGCACAAUGGGGGAAACCCUGAUGCAGCGACGCCGCGUGAGGGAAGAAGUAUCUCGGUAUGGAAAGCUUUAUCAGCCGGGAAGUAAAUGACGGUACCUGAUUAAGAAGCCCCGGCUAACUACGUUCCAGCAGCCGCGCGAAGACGUAGGGGGCAAGCGUUAUCCGGAUUUACUGGGUGUUAAGGGAGCGUAGACGGCAGCACAAGUCUGGAGUGAAAUGCCGGGGCUUAACCCCGGAACUGCUUUGGAAACUGUGCAGCUAGAGUGCAGGAGAGGUAAGUGGAAUUCCUGGUGUAGCGGUGAAAUGCGUAGAUAUUAGGAGGAACACCAGUGGCGAAGGCGGCUUACUGGCCUGUAACUGACGUUGAGGCUCGAAAGCGUGGGGAGCAAACAGGAUUAGAUACCCCAGUAGUC
rnacentral:rRNA from 1 species